GCGGCUAUAGACAGGCAGGGAGAACAGACAGAGCUGGAAACUCAGGUGGAUUCUAACAUCUUGGAUAAGUCCAAUGACCUGAAGCAGCAGAGAGAGCAGAUUCGCAAGCUGGAUGAACGAUUGGAUUUGGACAUGCAGGAGCAGACCAGAGAGGAACAGCACUGGGCAGAAGAGAUGGAGUCAGUGGAGAACCAUCGUAAGGUUCUUGAGAAGAAGGUUAAUUAUGGUUACGACGAGGCUAUGCAACCCCUUUACCUUUGUUUGUGGCUACUUUGCACAACAUCAGUGACUUGACUGUGGUUGGUCUUCAUUUCAGAGUUGUGUUAUAUUGAAUCCACUAGGGGGCAGCACACACCUUUUUGUUAUAUUCUAUUUCAUACAUUCAUUCAGUUUUUUUUUGUUUGGUCAACUGAAGUAGUGACAUUGCUUGUGUCUCAGUGUAGGAUAGACUUACAGAAUAACUGUAUUAACAACCUCCACAGUCUCUCAGCUCCUGAAAUCAUCUGAAAUGACUGACCUUUUUUUUGUUUUUUUUCCCUACAUGUUCCCACUUUUCCAAACACCUGACCUGUUGGUUAAUGUUGCAUAUCAGUUUCUUCAAUAGUUACCUGCUUUAACGUUUUCAAACAUCAACAAAAGCUUUGCAACGACUUCCUUGAACAGAGUGAGCACCAAAUGCAAUGGCAUUUAGUUAUUUUUUUCUGUCCACUACCAUCAGUCCAAAUCUAAUCCUUUUAUACAACUACAAAUUGAUAAGUUUGAGCCAUUAAAUUUAGCUGAUAUUUAAGUUUAGUCAGAAACACCAUGUUGAUUCAGUAUAUGAGAUGAAAUGUGUUUCAGACAUAUUCAUGCUUCUUUGGUAGCAUUUGUAUUCUACAAACCCAAUAAGCUGUGAAUGUAUGACUUCAGAUAUUGGUGCGGACCAGCACUGGUAGUUAAAAAAGAAAUGGCACGCAUUGUUUCCAUUUGUGUCAGUCUCAUUUAUCCUGUUUUUUCCAUGCACAUUAGAGCAUUGAAGUUCCACAUAUCAGCCAAAGCCCAAUAAAACCGACUGGCUCAUUAGCAAAUGAAACGUUUAUUUUAGGAGUGAAUGUUUUCUGCGCUUCUGGCAGGCGCAUUCACUGCAAAUCCUUUGGCCAAGGCGAAGUUGGCAGCAAGGACACAAACAGGAAGUGGGGCAUGUCUCUCCACAAUGCAUUCUCCGUGUCAUGGUCAGUAUCACUCAUUGUACCUGUUUCCAAUGAACUCUGCAUGCUUGGCCUUCAAUAUUAGUAUAAAUUUUUUUCUCUUCUGUAUAAUCUAUAGAGAUUCAAUCCAGAUAUCCUGUGGCAAUCUGAAUACAAUUCAAAACCACAAUUUGGGUUCACUUCUCUUUUAAAAAG